GGAGAAGGUUUGGCUAGGAGCUGUGACUUUGGAAUAAGUAUUCGUUAGGUCCCCCUGCAGUAUGAAAGAUGUAAUCGUCUCCGGAUCCCAUCUGAGUGUUGCUGUAUUCCCAAAAAUAUGUAAAUGAUUCAUACCAUAACGUACAUUACCCUGUUUUUCUGUACCAUGCUUUGCAUGUACCACUGUGAAAUAUUUUAUUGAAAAUAAAAACAAUACUUGUUUUUUUUUAAUUUACAUUGUCCUCUAUAUAUCAAUCGUAGACCCCAGAUGCCGCUUAUUAUCC